AGAGAGUGAAGGGGAAUUAAGAGCCAGAGAGAGCAGAGGAGAGAGGAGGAGUAAGUGGUAGCAAGACAGAUGGGGAGCUGGCAAGAACUCUGAAGGAUCCCCAAGUCCCAUGUUACUGUGGGAGAUUGUGCCGAUAAGGUCCCUUUGGUUGCCCUCCUUCCCCAUCUGGAUCUCUUGCUGACCCUCAAGAACUAACUGUCCAUCUGGGAAGGCCCUACAGCUGACCCUCAUGCAUGCCCCUCUUCUCCUGGUUGGCAGAUGCUAGAGGAAACCAUGCAGAUGACAGAUGUUAGUAAAGCAAGUUUGGGUCACUGGUUGGAUUUUUGGAUCUGCGUUCCUUUUCCCUCCUUUAGGUAUGCUCGGGGGAGGACAUGGGGGGAGGAGAGUCAGGGCAUGAUCCUAUGCCAAGUGAGGUCCCAAGCUUUGGCACUUGGGGAUUAAGGCCAGGUCUCCCAUCAUGAAGAAUCAGAUGGGCUCUAGCUUGGGCCUGGCAGAGGAUGCUCAAACAAGAGGUCAGCCUGGAAGAAGCCUGUACAGAACUCAGCACUGUCUGAGGCUCCUCCUACCUUGAGUACAGAGGACCAGAAAACACCUGGGCCUGAGCCUGGGUGUGGUGGAAUGGGCCUCACAUGGAUACAUGGCCAGUCCACUGGGCACUUCCUCUGUGCCAGGUGUUACAGCGAGAGUUGGGAGGCACCGAGCAGCUCCAGGCUGUCCAGUGACUGUGCCACCAAGUCCCUUGCAAAGGCAAGGCUCUCGGCUGAACUACCAGACUGCCCUGGUGUGGCUCUGACGGCUGACAGUGAAUCCCAACCCAGCAGGAUGUUUUGUUCCGGAGGAGCCUUGAAGUCCAUUCGGCCUAUGAAAGAGGCAAAGUAUCUCAGGCCUGCAGGACCACCAGGUCUUCAAGUCAUGGCAAUCCCAUUGGUGUUACUGGUGAUGUGAGUACAGAUGGAGAU
ensembl:lncRNA